CUAUGUACUGCUGGAACUGGUGGAGACCGAGAGAGACUAUGUGAGAGACCUUGGUGCAGUCGUGGAGGGCUACAUGAACAGGAUGAGGGAGGAGGGUGUACCUGACGACAUGAAGGGCAAAGAUAAGAUCGUCUUUGGGAACAUUCACCAGAUUUAUGAGUGGCAUAAAGACUUGUUUCUUGGUGAACUAGAGAAGUGCUUGGAAGACCCAGAUAGGCUCGCACCCCUGUUUAUAAGACAGGUAUGAA